UAUAUAUGUACGAGCGAUGUUACGCAUACGGCAUUUUCCAUCCUAUCUUUUACCACAAAUCACCUCCACAAUAGGAUUGCGUCAUCACCCUUUAAUCUGUCUCGCUUGGAAUUGCAUCGUUCUUGGAUCGGAGUUGUAAGUAUCGUAUGCAUAUCUAUUCAAUAUAUGUACCAUUGUUCGGGGUAGGGAUAAGAGAUUUCCUUUUGUUCUUCUAAGUGAACUUCAUAUUUUUUAUAAUUUAUUAUCCUUUUGGUAGGCAUAUGCAUGGAUGGAAAGAUGUCUCAAGGUGUUACGAAACCGAGAGAAGGAAGCCCAUCAAGAUCUGGUAAGGGCAAGAAAAUUACUGAUGAUGACCUGAACAAGCCGAUUGAACGGAAGAGAGGGUUAGGGAUCGCAGAUUUAGAGAGGAUUAGGAUACAAACUGAAAUAGAUGAGUACUUGAAGAACGCUCAGUGCACACCUCUGCUAACUAGAAUUGGUG
rnacentral:lncRNA from 1 species